GACAGAGGGUGCGAACGUUGUUCGGAAUUACUGGGCGUAAAGCGCACGCAGGUGGCUGAGUCAGUCGAUUGUGAAAGCCCUGGGCUUAACCUGGGAAUUGCAGUCGAUACUACUCAGCUAGAGUAUGGGAGAGGGUAGUGGAAUUCCCGGUGUAGCGGUGAAAUGCGUAGAUAUCGAGAGGAACACCUGCGGCGAAGGCGGGUUGCUGGGCUGACACUGACGCUGAUGUGCGAAAGCUAGGGGAGCGAACGGG
rnacentral:rRNA from 1 species